UACAGAGGUCUCAAGCGUUGUUCGGAUUCAUUGGGCGUAAAGGGUGCGUAGGCGGCGCGGUAAGUCGGGUGUGAAAUCUCGGGGCUUAACUCCGAAACUGCAUUCGAUACUGCCGUGCUUGAGGACUGGAGAGGAGACUGGAAUUUACGGUGUAGCGGUGAAAUGCGUAGAUAUCGGGAGGAACACCUGUGGCGAAAGCGGCUCACUGGACCACAACUGACGCUGAGGCGCGAAAGCUAGGGGAGCAAACAGG
rnacentral:rRNA from 1 species